rnacentral:rRNA from 1 species
AGCGGACAGAUGGGAGCUUGCUCCCUGAUGUUAGCGGCGGACGGGUGAGUAACACGUGGGUAACCUGCCUGUAAGACUGGGAUAACUCCGGGAAACCGGGGCUAAUACCGGAUGGUUGUUUGAACCGCAUGGUUCAAACAUAAAAGGUGGCUUCGGCUACCACUUACAGAUGGACCCGCGGCGCAUUAGCUAGUUGGUGAGGUAACGGCUCACCAAGGCAACGAUGCGUAGCCGACCUGAGAGGGUGAUCGGCCACACUGGGUCUUUAGCGGGAGGGCCCGCCCUUUGGGGAAUUUCUUCCCGCAAAGGGGACGAAAAGUUUGGAACGGAAGCAAACGCCCGGCUUGGAAGGGAUGAAGGGUUUUUCGGAUUCGUAAAAGCUUUUGUUGUUUAGGGAAAGAACCAAGUUCCCGUUUGGAAUAGGGGCGGUACCUUGGACGGUACCUAAACCAGAAAGGCCACGGGCAAAUUACGUGCCCAGCAGCCGCCGGUAAUACGUAGGUGGCCAGCGUUGUCCGGAAUUAUUGGGCGUAAAGGGGCUCGCAGGCGGUUUCUUAAGUCUGAUGUGAAAGCCCCCGGCUCAACCGGGGAGGGUCAUUGGAAACUGGGGAACUUGAGUGCAGAAGAGGAGAGUGGAAUUCCACGUGUAGCGGUGAAAUGCGUAGAGAUGUGGAGGAACACCAGUGGCGAAGGCGACUCUCUGGUCUGUAACUGACGCUGAGGAGCGAAAGCGUGGGGAGCGAACAGGAUUAGAUACCCUGGUAGUCCACGCCGUAAACGAUGAGUGCUAAGUGUUAGGGGGUUUUCCGCCCCCUUAGUGCUGCCAGCUAAAGGCAUUAAAGCACUCCCGCCCGGGCGCGGUCGCAAGACUGAAACUCAAAGGAAUUGACGGGGGCCCGCACAAGCGGUGGAGCAUGUGGUUUAAUUCGAAGCAACGCGAAGAACCUUACCAGGUCUUGACAUCCUCUGACAAUCCUAGAGAUAGGACGUCCCCUUCGGGGGCAGAGUGACAGGUGGUGCAUGGUUGUCGUCAGCUCGUAGAAGAAUGAGGAACGUUCCGCCCUUUCGCGGCGGCAGAAGGUGGACAAGGUGGAUUGACAUUCAGUUGGGCACUCUAAGGUGACUGCCGGUGACAAACCGGAGGAAGGUGGGGAUGACGUCAAAUCAUCAUGCCCCUUAUGACCUGGGCUACACACGUGCUACAAUGGACAGAACAAAGGGCAGCGAAACCGCGAGGUUAAGCCAAUCCCACAAAUCUGUUCUCAGUUCGGAUCGCAGUCUGCAACUCGACUGCGUGAAGCUGGAAUCGCUAGUAAUCGCGGAUCAGCAUGCCGCGGUGAAUACGUUCCCGGGCCUUGUACACACCGCCCGUCACACCACGAGAGUUUGUAACACUCCGAAGUCGGUGAGGUAACCUUUAGGAGCGCAGCUCGCCGAA